GGCGGACGGGUGAGUAACGCGUGGAUAACCUGCCUCAUACAGGGGGAUAACAGUUAGAAAUGACUGCUAAUACCGCAUAAGCGCACAGUCCCGCAUGGGACAGAGUGAAAAACAUUAGUGGUGUAAGAUGGACCCGCGUCUGAUUAGCUUGUUGGCGGGGUAACGGCCCACCAAGGCGACGAUCAGUAGCCGGCCUGAGAGGGUGGACGGCCACAUUGGGACUGAGACACGGCCCAAACUCCUACGGGAGGCAGCAGUGGGGGAUAUUGGACAAUGGGGGAAACCCUGAUCCAGCGACGCCGCGUGAGUGAAGAAGUAUUUCGGUAUGUAAAGCUCUAUCAGCAGGGAAGAAAGAAAUGACGGUACCUGAGUAAGAAGCCCCGGCUAACUACGUGCCAGCAGCCGCGGUAAUACGUAGGGGGCAAGCGUUAUCCGGAAUUACUGGGUGUAAAGGGAGCGUAGACGGUAAUGCAAGUCUGGAGUGAAAGGCGGGGGCCCAACCCCCGGACUGCUCUGGAAACUGUGUAACUGGAGUGCAGGAGAGGCAGGCGGAAUUCCUAGUGUAGCGGUGAAAUGCGUAGAUAUUAGGAGGAACACCAGUGGCGAAGGCGGCCUGCUGGACUGUAACUGACGUUGAGGCUCGAAAGCGUGGGGAGCAAACAGGAUUAGAUACCCUGGUAGUCCACGCCGUAAACGAUGAUUACUAGGUGUGGGUGGGUAUGGACCCAUCGGUGCCGCAGCAAACGCAGUAAGUAAUCCACCUGGGGAGUACGUUCGCAAGAAUGAAACUCAAAGGA
rnacentral:rRNA from 1 species